rnacentral:lncRNA from 1 species
UUCAUGGGGUCGGGGUGCUUAGAGUUGUGUUGUGUCGUGAGAUGGGGUGUUGUUCGCAGUGUGCCUCCAGAUGCCUCGGGUGUUGUGUCGGGUAUUGUUGUGUAGGAUUGUGUUAUGUCAUGUUCUUUAUUUUGGUUUGGGGGUGUGGGGGAUUUUGGUAUAUUUGCCUGUGGUCCCUUUGGUGGCGCACCACUUCCAUGCUGGGGGAGGCAUUGUCGGUUUGUUGGUGUUGAUUGUUUCCUGGGAGCAUUUUCUUUUUUCUAUUUCAGUUGCCUCAUGUGUGUUAGUUCCCCUAAGAUCUUGUGGUGGCUUUGUCAUUUGUGCCUCAUCCCGUUUGACAUUUGUAUUCUUCUCAUGAGCUGUGAUCGCCAGUGCCGUGUUGGGCCUUCCCGC